rnacentral:rRNA from 1 species
GACAGAGGGUGCAAACGUUGUUCGGAAUUACUGGGCGUAAAGCGCGCGUAGGCGGCUGCGUGUGUCGGGCGUGAAAUCCCACGGCUCAACCGUGGAAGUGCACUCGAAACUGCGCAGCUAGAGUCUCGGAGAGGAAGGCGGAAUGCUUGGUGUAGAGGUGAAAUUCGUAGAUAUCAAGCGGAACACCGGUGGCGAAGGCGGCCUUCUGGGCGAUGACUGACGCUGAAGCGCGAAAGCGUGGGGAGCAAACAGG